rnacentral:misc_RNA from 1 species
GAUGAAGAACGCAGCGAAAUGCGAUAAGUAGUGUGAAUUGCAGAAGUACCGUGAAUCAUCGAAUCUUUGAACGCAAAUUGCACUCUCUGGUAUUCCGGGGAGUAUGCCUGUUUGAGGGUCGCUUAACAAACCAUCGAUUUCGUUGCUUUUUUUUUUUAAAGUGAUGUUUAUCGGAUUUGAGCCGUCUUUUUUUUUAUAUUUAAGUGGCUUAAAAUUGAUUUUUUUGGUACGAUCGAAGCUUAUUUUUAUGAUCAAUUUUUGGUUAAAGAAACGCACACGUACCGUUAUUUAUAUGAUGUAAUACGUUUGACUAUUGGAUUUAGUUCAUUCGUAUACGAUAUCUUUCAAUAUUUGACCUCAAAUCAGGUAAGAACACCCGCUGAACUUAAGCAUAUCAAUAAGCGGAGGA